rnacentral:rRNA from 1 species
AACGAACGCUGGCGGCAUGCCUAACACAUGCAAGUCGAACGAGACCUUCGGGUCUAGUGGCGCACGGGUGCGUAACGCGUGGGAAUCUACCCUCAGGUUCGGAAUAACUCAGAGAAAUUUGAGCUAAUACCGGAUGAUAACGUAAGUCCAAAGAUUUAUCGCCUGAGGAUGAGCCCGCUUAGGAUUAGGUAGUUGGUGAGGUAAAGGCUCACCAAGCCGACGAUCCUUAGCUGGUCUGAGAGGAUGAUCAGCCACACUGGGACUGAGACACGGCCCAGACUCCUACGGGAGGCAGCAGUGGGGAAUAUUGGACAAUGGGCGAAAGCCUGAUCCAGCAAUGCCGCGUGAGUGAUGAAGGCCUUAGGGUUGUAAAGCUCUUUUACCCGGGAUGAUAAUGACAGUACCGGGAGAAUAAGCUCCGGCUAACUCCGUG